GAUGAACGCUAGCGGCAGGCUUAAUACAUGCAAGUCGAGGGGCAGCACGGGUAGCAAUACCUGGUGGCGACCGGCAAACGGGUGCGGAACACGUACGCAACCUUCCUUUAAGCGGGGAAUAGCCCAGAGAAAUUUGGAUUAAUACCCCAUAAUAUAAUGAGAAAGCAUUUUCUUAUUAUUAAAGAUUUAUCACUUAGAGAUGGGCGUGCGGCUGAUUAGGUAGUUGGCGGAGUAACAGCCCACCAAGCCUUCGAUCAGUAGCUGAUGUGAGAGCAUGAUCAGCCACACGGGCACUGAGACACGGGCCCGAUCCUACGGGAGCAGCAGUAAGGAAUAUUGGUCAAUGGACGAAAGUCUGAACCAGCCAUGCCGCGUGGAGGAUGAA
rnacentral:rRNA from 1 species